GCAGUCGUGGCCGAGUGGUUAAGGCGAUGGACUAGGAAUCCAUUGCGGUCUCCCGCACGAACUCGAAUACUGUCGACUGCG
rnacentral:tRNA from 1 species